rnacentral:rRNA from 1 species
UCAUGGCUCAGGAUGAACGCUGGCGGCGUGCCUAACACAUGCAAGUCGAGCGAACCCUUCGGGGUGAGCGGCGGACGGGUGAGUAACGCGUGGGUAACCUGCCCUGUACACACGGAUAACAUACCGAAAGGUAUGCUAAUACGAGAUAAUAUAUUUUAAUCGCAUGGUUAAGAUAUCAAAGCUCCGGCGGUAAAGGAUGGACCCGCGUCUGAUUAGCUAGUUGGUGAGGUAAUGGCUCACCAAGGCGACGAUCAGUAGCCGACCUGAGAGGGUGAUCGGCCACACUGGAACUGAGACACGGUCCAGACUCCUACGGGAGGCAGCAGUGGGGAAUAUUGCACAAUGGGCGAAAGCCUGAUGCAGCAACGCCGCGUGAGCGAUGAAGGCCUUCGGGUCGUAAAGCUCUGUCCUCAAGGAAGAUAAUGACGGUACUUGAGGAGGAAGCCCCGGCUAACUACGUGCCAGCAGCCGCGGUAAUACGUAGGGGGCUAGCGUUAUCCGGAAUUACUGGGCGUAAAGGGUGCGUAGGCGGUCUUUCAAGCCAGAAGUGAAAGGCUACGGCUCAACCGUAGUAAGCUUUUGGAACUGUAAGACUUGAGUGCAGGAGAGGAGAGUGGAAUUCCUAGUGUAGCGGUGAAAUGCGUAGAUAUUAGGAGGAACACCAGUAGCGAAGGCGGCUCUCUGGACUGUAACUGACGCUGAGGCACGAAAGCGUGGGGAGCAAACAGGAUUAGAUACCCUGGUAGUCCACGCCGUAAACGAUGAGUACUAGGUGUCGGGGGUUACCCCCCUCGGUGCCGCA